rnacentral:rRNA from 1 species
AUUGAACGCUGGCGGCAGGCUUAGCACAUGCAAGUCGAGCGGAGUGAUGGUGCUUGCACUAUCACUUAGCGGCGGACGGGUGAGUAAUGCUUAGGAAUCUGCCUAUUAGUGGGGGACAACAUCUCGAAAGGGAUGCUAAUACCGCAUACGUCCUACGGGAGAAAGCAGGGGAUCACUUGUGACCUUGCGCUAAUAGAUGAGCCUAAGUCGGAUUAGCUAGUUGGUGGGGUAAAGGCCUACCAAGGCGACGAUCUGUAGCGGGUCUGAGAGGAUGAUCCGCCACACUGGGACUGAGACACGGCCCAGACUCCUACGGGAGGCAGCAGUGGGGAAUAUUGGACAAUGGGGGGAACCCUGAUCCAGCCAUGCCGCGUGUGUGAAGAAGGCCUUAUGGUUGUAGAGCACUUUAAGCGAGGAGGAGGCUUACCUAGUUAAUACCUGGGAUAAGUGGACGUUACUCGCAGAAUAAGCACCGGCUAACUCUGUGCCAGCCGCCGCCGUAA